rnacentral:rRNA from 1 species
UGAGGAAUAUUGCACAAUGGGCGAAAGCCUGAUGCAGCAACGCCGCGUGAGGGACGAAGGCCCUCGGGUCGUAAACCUCUUUUCUGGGGGAAGAGCAAGGACGGUACCUCAGGAAUAAGUCUCGGCUAACUACGUGCCAGCAGCCGCGGUAACACGUAGGAGGCGAGCGUUAUCCGGAUUUACUGGGCGUAAAGCGCGCGCAGGCGGCUUCGUCAGUCGGACGUGAAAGCUCCCGGCUUAACUGGGAGAGGUCGUUCGAUACUGCGAGGCUUGAGGUUGGGAGAGGGGUGUGGAAUUCCCGGUGUAGUGGUGGAAUGCGUAGAUAUCGGGAGGAACACCUGUGGCGAAAGCGGCACCCUGGCCCACACCUGACGCUGAGGUGCGAAAGCGUGGGUAGCAAACA